GACGAACGCUGGCGGCGUGCUUAACACAUGCAAGUCGAACGAAGAGCGAUGGAAGCUUGCUUCUCUCAAUCUUAGUGGCGAACGGGUGAGUAACGCGUAAUCAACCUGCCCUUCAGAGGGGGACAACAGUUGGAAACGACUGCUAAUACCGCAUACGAUCUAAUCUCGGCAUCGAGGAUAGAUGAAAGGUGGCCUCUACAUGUAAGCUAUCACUGAAGGAGGGGAUUGCGUCUGAUUAGCUAGUUGGAGGGGUAACGGCCCACCAAGGCGAUGAUCAGUAGCCGGUCUGAGAGGAUGAACGCCACAUUGGGACUGAGACACGGCCCAGACUCCUACGGGAGGCAGCAGUGGGGAAUCUUCCGCAAUGGACGAAAGUCUGACGGAGCAACGCCGCGUGAGUGAUGACGGCCUUCGGGUUGUAAAGCUCUGUUAAUCGGGACGAAAGGCCUUCUUGCGAAUAGUGAGAAGGAUUGACGGUACCGGAAUAGAAAGCCACGGCUAACUACGUG
rnacentral:rRNA from 1 species